UCUGAUGUCAGCAGUGUCCUUACGGCCUUUAAAAGGUGAAUUCUAUAAAAUAUCCUCAGUGAUUAACUUUCAUUUAUGCCUUGGAAGCUGAAAUCCAACAGCUGUCGUGUGGUUUCCACUGCUCUGGGAAGCGCACCGAUGCACUCCUUGCUGAUAAGAGGCCGCAGCCAUCAAGCAGGCCCAAGAAGAGGCUAAGCAGCAGCCUUCCCCAAAUCAUCCAGCGGAGAGCUAAGCCCUGCUUCCACUGAACCGUCAUCAGAAACAGCUGAUGUCAAUUAGACAGAUGUUAAUUAGAUAUGUUGGUCGGGGUGGGAGAGACAGGGAUAGCAUCACCCUGAGGGUGAGGUUAUGCAUGGAUAUCCACUGCGGUACGAACCCAAGGCAUUGCUUACACCCAGUCCUUUGCAGAAGUCCUUUGCUUUCACUGGGGGAGAAGAGGACUUACCCCAUCCAGAGCUUUUCCUACCCCUCAGGCACUGCAUGCGAGUUGCCAGGAGGUUUGCAGAGGGUGUUAUCCUGGUGAGGUCAGGUUUGCCCCUCUUUGGGGGGAAAAAUGGAAAAAACAGCACUUCCCUUGGGUUGUGCAACAUUCCUGUCCUCACAGCCUGAGGGCAUCUUUUACAAGAAAUAAAACACAUGAGACCAUGCAAUAAGAAAAAAAAAAAAAAAAAAAAAAAAGAAGAAGAAGAAGAAUUAAAAUAAAGCCCAAAGCCCAAGACAACCAAGACAAAGCACGGAUUUCUCAUGCCAACUGCAGGGAGACAUUCAGCCGGGAAUAAUGUGUAUUUCUGACAGCAUUAUUCACUCACCCCCGAGUAAAUACCCCUUAAUCCCUAUCCUAGCAGAAAUUUAUGGGAAAGAUUAGCCGGGCAGCUUGCUCUGAAGUGUCACAAAGCCCGCGGCUGCCCGGCAGAGAGAGGUGGGAGCGGGACCACCAAGCACCCCCCACACGUGGCCCUGGACCAGCCUGGCACUGCGCCGCUCCCGGCUGCCUUCUUCAGCGACAAAAGCCUGGUGUCUGCCUAAGAUCAUGCAGACUUUUUUUUUUUUUUAUAUCCCCCAAACGCCUUUAAUGAGCUGUUUCACAACUAGCGAAGGGCAGAAAUAAGGCUGAGCAGAGCUGGUGGGAGGCGAGAAGCCCCAGCCUGCAGAAAGCCAGGAAUUUCCCCUGGGGCUCUGAUUCAGACGAGGAAAUAGCUUCGGGUUUCUCCGAGCUGAAAUUCUCAGAGAACUCUGGCUUUGGCAAAAGUAUUACAGGGAUUUAAUACCCUGUCUAUUAUUUUAUGUAUUAUUGUAUGCUAUUAGAGGGCAGUCAUCAUGCGAUCAUUUUCUCAGAGACCUCGCGUGGAAAUUUUGAGUCGCUCAACUCUGCGAAAAGGAAGGGGGCAUUUUUCAGUUAACAACUUGCAAAGAAAGCCUCCCGACUGACCUAAAUCCAGCAGUUUGCAGCACUUCCCAAGGCCAGGCAUUAGCAGGAACAGGAGAUGGCUACAGCCUGCUGCUGGGGGAGGCGAGGGCUCACCUCCUAGCUCAUGGCAGAAGAAGUGAUGUGCAGAAAUGCAAACCUUCCCCAAGGUCCGGCUCCCUCCACUCAAGGGCUUGACCGAAGCCUCAUUUAAAGCCAUGAAAGCUUUUCCAUCGACCUCUGCGGGCUGACCGCUCAGGAAAUGAGGCCGGGCCAUCUGCUUGAAAGGCCGGUGCCCGUGUCAGAGUGCUUCUGAUCAAUAGCAGGCAAUAAGCACGGCGCGCUCCCGGAUGCGCUGGGGCUUCCCUUCGCCUGCUGCACCAGGCACCCAGCCCUGAGAUGUCCGGGGCACCCUUUUAGCAUUGCUUCGGGAGAAAAAAAAAAGCAGGAGCACCCAUCUGUGGCUUUGAUGUGCUCGGGCAGAGCACAACCAGGCCACGUCCCGUGUGGGAGAGCUUUUCCCUCAUACCCACUUUCCACCAGCCUCAGCACAGAGGAUGCUUCUGCUCUGUCCCACCAGCCUCACUCCAUUUUCCAGGGUUUUUCCCCCAAAAGGAGUACAAAGUGCAAACGCAACUGUUAGCGUGCCGCAUUAUCUGACCCUUA